CGUGUAGGCGGGUCUUUAAGUCAGGGGUGAAAUGCCAAGGCUCAACCUUGGAACUGCCUUUGAUACUGGGGAUCUUGAGUCCGGGAGAGGUGAGUGGAACUGCGAGUGUAGAGGUGAAAUUCGUAGAUAUUCGCAAGAACACCAGUGGCGAAGGCGGCUCACUGGCCCGGAACUGACGCUGAGACGCGAAAGCGUGGGGAGCAAACAGGAUUAGAUACCCUGGUAGUCCACGCUGUAAACGAUGGAUGCUAGCCGUUGGGGAGCUUGCUCUUCAGUGGCGCAGCCAACGCUUUAAGCACUCCCGCCUGGGGAGUACGGUCGCAAGAUUAAA
rnacentral:rRNA from 1 species